AGCAGCCGCGGUAAUUCCAGCUCCAAUAGCGUAUAUUAAAGUUGUUGCAGUUAAAAAGCUCGUAGUUGAAUUUCGGGACCAAUUUGUUGGUCGUGCCUCGGUACGUACUGGUAUUAUUGGUUUCUCCCUUCUGAAGAACCUCGAUGUCAUUAAUUUGGUGUCGUGGGGAGUCAGGACUGUUACUUUGAAAAAAUUAGAGUGUUUAAAGCAGGCAUACGCUUGAAUACAUUAGCAUGGAAUAAUGAAAUAGGACGUUUGAUUCUAUUUUGUUGGUUUCUAGGAUCGACGUAAUGAUUAAUAGGGAUAGUUGGGGGCAUUAGUAUUCAAUUGUCAGAGGUGAAAUUCUUGGAUUUAUUGAAGACUAACUACUGCGAAAGCAUUUGCCAAGGAUGUUUUCAUUAAUCAAGAACGAAAGUUAGGGGAUCGAAGACGAUCAGAUACCGUCGUAGUCUUAACCAUAAACUAUGCCGACUAGGGAUCGGAUGAUGUAAUUUUUAAUGACUCAUUCGGCGCCUUACGG
rnacentral:rRNA from 1 species